CAUUUUUCCACAGGCCAACAACAGCUUCAACAAAACUAUUUCCCUCAAAGAGAAAACCAAACAUGCCCUGUUGUUGCAAGAGAGAAAGUGCAGACGGAAACAU